UGCUCUGUCAUUCAGUGUGUUAUGGU
rnacentral:piRNA from 1 species